AUGCGGUUCUGAGCCACAGGGGAGGGACUCCUGCCGUCACUUCCCCAGCAGAAUGGUUGGGCCCGCUGUGUGGUCCCUUCACCUGCCUGGACCAAGGAGAACCUAGGAAAUCUUCCAAGUUCAUGAAUGAGGCAAGGUGGGAGAGAUCACAGAGGAUGCCGGGGCACUCUCUGUCAACUGUGGGAGGAAGCCAGGAGAAGGGUCUGUGAAGCCACAAUGCGAGGUCAGCAGCCUGCAGCCCAGAAGAGGAGCUUCAUCAGAGCCCGGCCAGGCUGGCCCCCUGAUCCCGGGCUGUCAGCCCCGAGAACGGUUUGCAAAGAGGUAACUUGGCACAGAAAGGAGGAAGUGGAUGGGCCUCAGCGCUCCCUCAUGUAUUCAUUAA